UAUCUCUGUAGAGUCUGCAUAUCAAUAAGCGGAGGAAAAGAAACUAACUAGGAUUCCCCUAGUAACGGCGAGUGAAGCGGGAAGAGCUCAAAUUUGAAAUCUUAAAGGUUUCCCUUGACGAAUUGUAGUUUAAAGAAGUGUUUUCUGUUGGAGGUUUUGGUAAAAGUUCUUUGGAAUAGGACAUCAUAGAGGGUGAGAAUCCCGUAUUUGACCUUUACUUUCAACUUUGUGAUACACUUUCAAAGAGUCGGAUUGUUUGGGAAUGCAGUCCAAAAUGGGUGGUAAAUUUCAUCUAAAGCUAAAUAUUGGCGAGAGACCGAUAGCGAACAAGUACCGUGAGGGAAAGAUGAAAAGAACUUUGAAGAGAGAGUUAAACAGUACGUGAAAUUGUCAAAAGGGAAGCGUUUGACACCAGUGUUGUUUUUCUGAAAAUCAAUUAAAGAACUGUUUAUGCUAAGCUGUUUAGACUUUAUCAGCUAUCUGUUUAGUUUUGAGCUUUUCUUUAAUGCACUUUUCAGUUAACAAGUCAACAUCAAUUUCUUUUGCUGUAAAAAAGCUUGAGGAAGGUGGCUUGAGAUUCGUCUUAAGUGUUUAUAGCCUCUUGCCUAUGCAGUCGGAGAGAUUGAGGUCUGCAGCGUAGAUCCUUCGGGGCUAAAUGCAUUUGUGCUAAGUUAUAGCAUUUUAUAGACAACUUGUUGACUAUGAUUUGUCUUGUAGCUUACUCGCUUAUGUUAUUUUACCUACGCUUAGGAUGUUGACGAUCAGCUGAGCGCG
rnacentral:rRNA from 1 species